UGAAUUUUUCAGGUUUGGAGAAACAAGGUUUGGAGUUGCCGUUGACUGAGGAGAUUGUUGAAGUAUUUUUCAGGUUUGGAGAAACAAGGCUUGGAGGUACGGAUUUAAGGUGAUUUGUAGAAGGGAAUUAAAAAAGAUUCGAUUUUUAGUCAUUUUUUUAUGUUUCAAAUGCUUCUCAUUUUUUCCUUUUUCUAAUCUUUUGUAGCCACCAUUGACAUAUGGGAUUGUUGAAGUAUUUUUCAGGUUUGGGACUGUUGUUUUUUCUCAGAUUCAAUCGUUGAAAUUUUGGUGUUUAUUUUUUGGGAACUUUUGGUUUUGAAUUUUUCAGAUUUGGAGAAACAAGGCUUGGAGGUAAGGAUUUAAGGUGGUUUGUAAAAAGGAAUUGAAAAAGAUUUGAACUUAUUUCAUGGUUUUGUAGGUUUUCUUUAAAGAAGUUCUCCAUAUCAAAAAGAGUUAUGAUAUUGUCUAUUCAAAGCUCUAUAUGAAUUAGAGGAUUUUUUUUCUAAUGUUUAUGAGAAUUCUGGACUAGAGUUAAUGAUGUUUUAGUAAAGAGGUUGUGGGAAUUGUGAAUUGCUUUCUGCAGAUGCUGUGUUGGUGAUUUAGUAUUCCAUCUAUGCCUUUCAUCUAUGCCUAAUUUGUGAGUUCAGUGCAAAAGGAAUUAGCAACCCAAGAAGGAUUCUAAUAUUGUCUUUUAAUAUUGCAGGAAGUUGCAUUAUUGACUGAUGAAAGAUUUUCAGGAGGUUCACAUGGAUUUGUGGUUGGCCAUAUAUGUCCUGAAGCACAAGUUAAUUGAAUAUUUUUUAUAAUCAGAUGCAUUGUGUGUGAAAUGUUUUAUCUUAAGUUGUUAGCCCAAAUGCUUGACAUAAUUAGUCCCUACACUUAAUUAUUAGUAAAGGAAUGUUUACCACCGGUAAUAAUUUGUGUGUAUGCUAAAAUCUUUGUUAACUUUGUUCAGCUCAUAAAGAACCACCCUGGUUUGGUUAGUCUUUCAUAACCGUGAUUGGCAAAAGUGUGUGUUCUUGAGAUUCUUAGCAGUAGUGUUAAGAUUGUAAACAAAAUAUCAAAUUAUUAAGGGAAUUUGUGAGGAAACUGACGACACUGGAGUGAGAAAGAAAUAUUUCUAAGCAAUGCCAACGAUAGUAUAUUCUGCAGUGCUCUAUUUUCAAGGGACCAGAGAAGUGGCUUUGGCAAUCUUUUGAAGUGAUUAUUCACACUUUUGCAAUUCAUUCAGGGGAUGCAAUUGUAGUGUGUUUGUGUACUUAGAAAAAAAUUAUACUUCUAAAACCAUUUAGGUCUGCCUUUUGGUAUCAAACUUUGUUCUUUGCAAACUCAGUUUAAUUCCAAUAUUCAAGCUAUUUAAUUAUAUUGGGUGUAAUAGUAGUAUGUUGGAUUUCAAAUGUUGAAGAAUAAAUUGUAAUGCUUUACUGUAAUUAUGUGCAAUUAUAAUUUUGAUGUUUUAAUCAGGACUACAAAGGUAGAAUGCUUUAGAAACCUACGUAAGACUACGAACAUAAUUUUUUUUUUCAAUUAUUUUCUCUUAAUAAAGAAAUUCUUGAAAUUGUUCUUUUAGUAACGAUAAUAAUUUUACUAGCUUUAUUGAUUUUAUAGGAAGGUGGUCCUAUUGGCUUGAUUAAAAAUGGAGACACAAUCAACGUUGACGUCCAAAACAGGAGAAUUGAUGUUUUGGUAUCAGAUGAAGAGAUGGAGGCACGCAGAAAAAAGUGGACUGCUCCUCCAUAUAAAGCUAACCAAGGAGCACUAUAGAAGUAUAUUAAAAAUGUGAAAUUUGCUUCUAGCAUAUGCGUGACGGAUGAGUAGAAAGACAUAUUUCCAUAGCAAAAGCUGAUUGUGUAUGCCUUGAUAGCGUUUUAAUGAGGCUGAGUUGGACAAGCAGGCAGUGACGCUGCGACGAGUGAGUAUAACGCGGUUGGCAAAGCAUGAACCUUUCCUGACUAUUUUUCAUCUCAUAAUUGUAAUCACGUUAGUCUGAACUUAUUAAUUGCAUGUUUGAUUCAGUUUAUUUUGUAGAUCCACUCUCAAAGAAGGUCUGGCCUGAGGAAGCUGGUAUAAAUUAUACUUUUUUUGGCUUACAAAUCUCCUAAAUUAUUCUUUUUUUCUUACAAAUCCCAUGUGGAUUGAAAUAUUGAAUUGCAUAUGCUCAUGAAUCUUUUCUUUAUUGUCUUGGACUUAUUAUGUUCCUUGGAUUCUGUGAGGCUAUCUUGUGGUUGAAACCAUGACAGUUGAGAUUGUGGGAUUUAAGAUGAUUCAAGGACCAGUAGAGAAUGCUGCUGAAGGAGCAAAACCUGAAGAAGGGGAAUGGAAAACUGGAAAAAGUUAUAGGAGUUGUGGAGGCCAUCAAAUUUGGGUGACAUGGAUGAAUGGGCAAAAACUAAUUGUCAAUUUUUGAGAUGCCAAGCAGCAAACAACACAACCAGUAGCAAAAUUGUUUUCAAAAUUAUAUCCAGACUUUAUGUAGAAAAAAAAUAUAUUUAUUUUUUAUUAGAGGUCUCUCCCAUGAACUUUUAUAUGGAUUUUGGUGCUCCUCUUGAUAGUAGUGUUGUUUGACCUUAACUGUGUAAUUUAAACAUUUAUUUAGCCCAUUGAUGGUACAUUUGGUGCCAACAAGCAUCUAGGAAAGUGUUGUGGAACAAAGUUCACUGGAAAAAUUAUAGGACUUGCAUUCCUUC